rnacentral:lncRNA from 1 species
UGUAUUUACAUAUAGAUCAAAAAAAAUUUAAUAUUAUUUUAUUUAAUAUUAAUAAACGAUAUCGCUAUACGACAGUUGACUGCCGUUGACUAUUGACGGUGAACGGCCGCUCUAGUUAAGUCGAAGUCCAAGAUUCGCCCCUGAGCACCACAACCGGAGCCACACACGAAUAGAUUCACCACUUCGAUAGAGCACAGCCACGAUCGGAGCCACCGCCAACUCACGACAAAUUGGUCAACACAACGCACCAACAGAUUCACCACAGCAAAAAAUCGCUACCAUCGAACAGAGCCACCGCCACCAAGACCAAAUCCAACACAACAGAGCCACCACCGAAUCACAGGAAACACCACCACAACCCCACGCACGCACACACCAUACCCAACCACUGCACCACCACUAACAGCGCCACCAACACCCAAAUUCAUUGCACAACUACAUCACAGCAAAAUACCACCACUUUACCAAAAAAAAAAAUCCAAAUCCAAAUCCAAAAUUAUUGUCACCACCACGCCGCCGCCGCCACACCCCAAGUAGAUUUACCAAAACCAUCGCAAAGUAGAUCUAAUCAGAAUCGGAGAUGAUGCUACAUCUGCUGAAAACCACAACUUGCUUCAUCUGUGAUUUGUGUGCGUGUUUUAGUGCAGCUAAUAGGGUAGUGAAAGGGGAUCAUGUCUGCAUCCUGAUACUAUUGUGUCGUCGGGACGACAAAUAGAGCUGUCUCCGGCAACAUCGUUUUGGGAGGGGGGAGAGAGAGAGAUAGACUACCGGCAAGAGUGGUGAAAAUAGAAAGAGGGGAUUUGAGGGUGAAAAAAAUGUAGGGUUUGAAAUUGUGUAGGUAAAUUAAUUAAUUUUUCUAACUUCUAAUAAAUAGGGAAAGGAGGGUCUACUAUUCAUGUAAUAGUAAAUUCAUC